UUGCGGUUACAUCACAUUGAAACACCGGUUCUCUUACGAUCACCGAAGUUAAGCAUCGUCGAGCCUACUCUGUAUCUAGACGGGUGACCGCUAAGAAAUAUACCAAGUGCUGUAAG